CAGCGCCACGAGUGGCAUCCGUAUUUAUUGGGCCUAAAGUGUCCGUAGCCUGUUUGAAAAGUCUUUUGUGAAAAUGGUGAGCUUAACUUAUCGAAUUGCAGGAGAUACUUUUAGACUAGAGACCGGGAGGGGCUGGAGGUAUUCUGGGGGAAGCGGUAAAAUGUGAUAAUCCCCGGAGGACCACCUGUGGCGAAGGCGUCUGACUAGAACGGAUCCGACGGUAAGGGACGAAACCCUGGGGCGCGAUCCGGAUUAGAUACCCGAGUAGUCC
rnacentral:rRNA from 1 species